CCCGGCUUUUUUCAGGUUCAUCAAGGUUUGCACAGUGGAUCCGCGAAUGAAGCCAGCCUGGAAGAUCCCCAGUCUCCAGACAGAGCCUGACAGGGGCAGAUGCUCUGGGAGGACCGUGUCUGGGUUCAGCACCAGGCAGCCAUCCUGGCCUCACAGGUGUGGGACGCCUGGGUCUUCUCCUGGCUGGCUUCUUGCUGGAGGAUUUCAAGAGACCCAGCAAGACUGUAUUGUCCCACUGAAUGCUCAAGAUAUUGGUUAGAAGUAGAAAAGGGGAGGGGCUAGUAUUUAGCCUCUGUCCCCGCUCAAAAGUAUUCCCAAUUGUCAUUUGUGUCGUCUCUUUAGCUUACAGUUUUAAUCCUUGUCAAAAUGAUCAUUUGCCAGGGUGCAUAAACCUGAUGCAGGUUUAAUGAGAACUGGUUUUAAAGGAAAAUGGGGCCAUCAGAAGGAAGCUGGCUGGAGUGAAGAGACAUCUGGGAAGAGCCCCUGGCGGGGGCCCUCAUUCCACUGGGUGACCCAGAAGGAGAAAACCGCCGUGGCGCUUCUCAUUCGAAAUGUUUUCCUUACGGACAGUGUUGAGCAAUUGUUAUAAUGUGUACUUUUGUUGAUUGAUCUGUGUAAAUAUGUAAAAUAAUUUGUUCUCUGAGUUAAUUUUGUUGGAACAAAGACUUUAGUGCUUCCUAAAUUAAAACAUUUUACUGUA